rnacentral:rRNA from 1 species
UAAGGAAUAUUGGUCAAUGGACGCAAGUCUGAACCAGCCAUGCCGCGUGGAGGAUUAAGGCCCUCUGGGUUGUAAACUCCUUUUAUCUGGGAAGAAAUGUACUUUUUCUUGAGUACUUGACGGUACCAGAGGAAUAAGCACCGGCUAACUCCGUGCCAGCAGCCGCGGUAAUACGGAGGGUGCAAGCGUUAUCCGGAUUCACUGGGUUUAAAGGGUGCGUAGGUGGGCAGGUAAGUCAGUGGUGAAAUCUCCGGGCUUAACCCGGAAACUGCCGUUGAUACUAUUUGUCUUGAAUAUUGUGGAGGUAAGCGGAAUAUGUCACGUAGCGGUGAAAUGCUUAGAUAUGACAUAGAACACCAAUUGCGAAGGCAGCUUACUACAUAUAAAUUGACGCUGAGGCACGAAAGCGUGGCGAUCAAACA